CGGAUUGUAAACUUCUUUUAGAGGGGAUGAAUCUCUGCGUGAAUAACGCAGGUUGACAGUACUCUUUGAAUAAGCCACGGCUAACUACGUGC
rnacentral:rRNA from 1 species